AACAAUGUAAAAAAAAAAAAGAAAAAGAAAUAAUAAUAAUGAUAAUAAUAAUAAUAAUAAUAAUAAUAAUAAUAACAAUAAUAAUAAUCUUUUCUACUAUAAGCACAAGGCCUGAAAUUUUUGGGGAAAGGACGCGACAAUUACAUCGACCCCAGAGCUCUAGGUACUUUUGUCAACCCAGGAAGGAUGAAAAGCAACACUGACCUCAGUGGGAUUUGAACUCAGAACAUAAAAGAUGGACAAACUGUAGCUAAGCAUUAUUUUUCUAGUGUGCUAUUUUAUGUUUUUUUUAAUGAUGUUUUCAUAUCAUUUUAAUGUUUUCAUAUUUUGUUUCAUAAAACUUAUUUUUCCAUAAUUGUUUCCGUAUUAUUAUUAUUAUUAUUAUUAUUAUUAUUAUUAUUAUUAUUAUUAUUAUUAUUAUUGCUAUUACUUUAAAAUUUCUUGAUCCUUUCUCACUUUUUAUUCGUUUAUAAGUUUUCGCUUUCGUAAAUUUCUGAAUGAUUUAGCAUAAACAACAAUAACGACAACAACAAGAAAUAACAUGUGGUGGGGGUUUCUGAACAAAGAAGGAACGGGUUCAAUUUUGGAAGCUGUUCAGAAAUUUCUCGGUCAUUUUGUCUCAUUCUGUCGACUUUGUGCAACGGAAUACAACCAUACAGCAACAACAACAACAUGAAGAUCUGUGUCGUUUUUUUUUUAAUAAACAGACCCAAAUAGGAUUGUGCCAUUUGUGGCCUUAAUAUAAUAGGUUUAUAUAAACAUAGGGUGUGUAUGUGUGUGUGGUUGUGUGAGUGUGUGUCUGCAUAUAAAAAUGACAAUGAAAUAUACAAUUUCCUUCACGGCUAUAUAAUAGGAGUUAUAAGUUUACUUACACACACACACAUAUAUAUAUAUAUAUAUAUAUGUAUACAUAUAUUGUAAUAAUAAUAAUAAUAAAAUAUGGUACAGGUGGAUGACAAAGGAACAUAUGGAAAACAGAGAAACAUGCAAUGGACUCUCUCACCCCUCAUCAGUUAUUGACUAAAUUUCAUCACAAUUUCAACACCUUAUAUAUAUAUAUAUGUAUACACAGACAGUCAAAGGCAUACAUACAUGCAUACAUGCACAUAUAUAAAUAUACUUAUAUACACACAUACUUAAAUUUAAAAAGACAAGAGUAAUGUACUCAAUACCAAAGUAAGAGUAUAAGUAUUUAUGAUAGAACUGCAAUUACUCUCUGUUUCUAUUCUGAGUUUUGUGAUUAUUUGCUGAUCAUGUAACGACUCUUGCAACCCCUUUUAUCAAUUCCAGGCAAAGCUGACCAUGGCAGGAUUUGAACUCAGAACAUAACAGGCCAAAACUAAACUCUAGAAAGUAUUGAAAGUAUUUAGUCCACUGUCCUACCAAUUUUUUCAAAGACAACUAAGUCAAUCAAGUAAUUGGUUGACAGUUUAUAAACAGUUGAUGUUUAAUGGCUAUAAUUUCCUGGCUGUAAAUAUUGCUUACUAUUGUAAACAGUGGCAGCAUAGUAAAUUUGAUGGAUGUUUACUUUAGCAGUCAGUAAUGUGUCUUAUUUGUUGUCAAUUUAACCUGCAGCUUACAUUCCCAUUUAGCAUGUAGUCUACCUGGCCAUCAAACACACAGUCUAAACCUAACCCUAAUCUUUAACUCUUAAUCCUAACCCAGAUGAGAAAUUUCACAGUGUAGACUACAGAUACUGCAGUAGACUGCACACCCAAGUAACACCACUUAUUUUUUCUAUGCUGCAGGAGGCUACAUAGUAAGGCUAUUCUACUUCAUUGAACACUGGCUGUUACAGAACCUACUAUCAACAACACAUGAGAGUUUAAAGUAUUUAACUCUUUAGCAUUUAUACCAGCCAUAUCUAGCCCAAAUAUUCUGUUUUAUGCUCCAAUCAGCCAGGUCCCAUCUCUCACACCUGCCCUACAAUGUCAUUCUAAAAAUAUACAAUCAUAUCAUCAAAAUCUCGAAGCUACCAGAUAAAGACUCCCUUCAGUCAUGAAUGCUCAUGGGAUUGAUCCUAAAAAGUUACCUUCUGAGACACAAGUCUGGGCAAGGUUGUUUAUGGAAGACAGCAGUUGCCCAUUCAUACCAACCUCCCCUCUCCAUGUCAGUGAUGUUGUCCAAGGGAAAGGCAAAGACCAAUACAGCUUGGCACCAGUGAUGUCGCAACUUAUUUCUACAACUGAGUGAAUGUGGAAUAAUGUGCCUUGCUCAAGAACCCAACACACAGCCAGCCCAGUCCAGGAACCAAACUCACUACCUUAUGAUUGUGAGCCCUUAUCACUAAAUACUAAGCUAUGCAUCUACAAGAUAAUACAUGAUUAACUGAAAACAAUGUGAAUAAAUAAGCAAUACCUUUGACAGAGUAAUCUGAAUGCUAAAGGGUUAAUAUCGGCACAGUCGAAAAGGGUUGGUUAGCAGAAAUAAAGAUUAGGGCACUCUACAGUGUAUCUGCCUCUUUUAGCUUUUUAUACAGUAGCUAAACCAUCCACUGCUUCUGAACAAUGUCUACCAUGGGGUAAGACGCUAACGAGGCUCUGAUUAGUUAAUGGUAAACAGUUGGAGUCUAUAAGCUUGAUAACAAAUCCACAACCCACAGAGGUUUUUGGAUGCAAGUAAUUUUGUUUAUAAAAUCAAAGGUACGAUAGCCAGUGAGAACAAUUAAAUAGGAGAACAGCUAGAAUCUGUGGAAAAUGGUAAGGAGUCGGGGAAGAUAGGAAAGUGGAUAGAAUAUGUCUGGGUGUUUAGGAGACGUGUUUCUUAAUAUUUCUCAACUUGUCCUAUGAUGCUAUCUCAUUGUCAAGAUAUGAUGCAAAACUGAGUAGCAACAGAGUGAAUCAGUAACUGUCUUCUGAUGACUAUAAAUUUCAUGUCAUGUAUUGAGUACUUUUUUUUACAACCAAAAUCUAUGUGUUUGAGUGUAUAUAUAAAUAUAUACACAACACAAACAUAGAUAGAUAGAUAGAUAGAUAGAUAGACAGACAGAUAGAUAGACCGAUAGAUAGAUAGACAGACAGAUAUUUAGACAAACAGAUGGGCAUAGAAGCAGAUAGGAAGUUAAGUAAGUAGAUAGAUAUAAAAGAAAAUAGGCAAUGGCCUUUGAGAAAAACCAAACCAAUGUUACUUCUGGAUUAAGGAGUAUACCAGAGCCAUGUGUACAUACACCCACACCCACACACACACACACACACACACAUGCAUUCAUUCAUUGACUGUUAUUACCUACUGGGAGUUUACAUCAUCCAUGGAUUCAUCACAGGAGUGAUUUUGGUAUCACCUGGUAAUUCAAUUAAACAGCCAACGGCUCGUACGUCUUUGACAUACAUAAAUUAUGUACACACAAACGCAUAUAUACAGACAUAUGCAUACAUACAUACGCUUUUGAAGGGAGUAUUUAUUUUGUCAGUCUUAUUAGAAACAAAGGGCAAAGUUGUCUUUGGUGUCAAAGAACAAUAACUGAGUCAGACACAUGCACAUAUGGCUCAGGUAUAUAUAUAUAUAUAUAUAUAUAUAUAUAUAUAUAUAUAUAUAUAUACACACAGCACUUGCAAUGCCUGCAGGAAAUAUAAAAAGUCAGCAUUUCAGCCUGUAUGCUGUCUUGAGUCCUUACUAAUCGUAAUGAAAGGAAGACAUGAGAUGGAAGGAUAAGGAAUGUAAUACAAGCAAAUACUAUAUCUCAGAGUAUGGCAAGAUGACAAUGUUAAUAAUAAUAAUUUCUACUAAAGGCACAAGGCCUGAAAUUUGGGGUGAGGGGACUAGCUGCUUACCUAUUUCUUUACUACCCACAAGGGGAUAAACACAGGGGACAAACAAGGACAGACAAAUGGAUUAAGUCGAUUAUAUCAACCCCAGUGCGUAACUGGUACCUAAUGUAUCGACCCCAAAAGGAUGAAAGGUAAAGUCAACCUCGGCGGAAUUUGAACUCAGAACGUAGUGACAGACGAAAUACUGCUAAGCAUUUCGCCCAGCGUGCUAACGUUUCUGUCAGCUCGCCGCCUUAGUUGCUUACAUCGACCCCAGUGUUUCACUGGUAUUUAAUUUAUCAACCUUAAAACGAUGAAAGGCAAAGUCGACCUUGGCACAAUUUGAACUCAGAAUGUAAAGAUAGACAAAAUGCCAGCAAGCAUUUUGUCUGGCGUAGUAUCAGUAAUAACAAUAGUUUCUAGUAUUGGUGCAUUUUAGAAGGUGGGGGAGGUUUUAGUUGAUUAAGCAUUGAUACAGCCCCACCCCAAUACUUGACAGCUAUUUCAUUUUAUUAAUUCUGAGAAGGAUCAAUGACAAAGUUCACCUUGGUGGAAUUUGAACUCAAAACACAAAAUGUCAAAACUGCUGUAAUGAUUAUGAACAGUUAACACAGGUUUUUUCUGAGUGAGAUUAUUAAUAGCCCCUGGUUGCUUAGAGAUUGGAAAAGGUGACUUGGAAGGCUUCCAUGACAGUGGGAAAAUGAUUGAGUUAAGCAAUUUGGGUGAAGAUGGAAAAGAAUGGCACAAUCAAGACAGAAUCAGAAGGGCAUAGUGAUCAGCGGUGUCUAACAGCAUCAAAUGAUCUGGUUGCUAUUGUGAUUUCUGAUUAGACCAGAGACUGCUUAAGAUAAAAGUUAAGCAUAAUGGGAUGUUGAGAUAUUCAUGUCUCUCCCAAGGGCAUGACUGGAGGGAAGUAAGUCAAAAAUAAUUCAAACUGUAUCACAGAAUUACAUAAACUGCUUUUUCGUUGCUCAGCAUUGUAUCAUUUAAUAUUGCUUUUUGAUAUUUUUUUUUAAUCAGACACAAGUUCAUUAUAAUUUUUGGCAAGAGGGAAAUGGCUGAUGUGAUAUAGGUUUUAAUGAGCAUUACUGAGACAUAGCUUCAAUUGGGGAUCAAAGCUUCAAUGUGAUAUCAGCUUGCUUACUAUUGACAUAUCUAUCUACAUUCCUACCUACCUAUUUAUCGAGCUGUCUAUUUUGUUGGGUGACUUGUCUGGACUAAUGCAACUCUUUCACACCAGACAACCCAGUUUUCCAUAACUGUCUUCAUAUCUUCACCCUGACAACCAAUGCAUUUCACAAAUUGAUUGAAAUAUGCUCUUCUUGGUCUGCCGAUACCUGUAUGUCCAUGAAUGGGUUUCCAGAGAAGGAGAUCACCAAAUAUUUCAUCCUUGCUUCUCCAGCAGUGUCCUGUAUCAUGCGUUCUCUUCUCCGAUAACUGAAGCGAAGGUAGGAAGACUGCCAUACAGUUUCUGCUUUGUAGGAUGUUAGCUUGCAAUGAAUCCCCAUCAUCUUUUUCUGUAUCCUGCACCAAAACACUGGGCUUAAUCCUUUUCCUCAGAACCUUGGCUCUCUGUAUUUCAUUCUCAUAAUGCCAAUAUUUUUUCCUACAGCUACAAAUUUAUAAUUACUCAAGAGGCUCCCUGGCUGUUGAACGCAAUAGCACAGCCCCUUUCCUAACCAGUGCUUAAUCCUUGGGAAUUGGGUGUUGCAAUAGCACAGCCCCUUCCUCUGACCAAAUUAAUAACAAAAAUAAAUAAAUGAAUAAAAUUGCUGCAGUCUUUUGUCACCUCAUUCAUGAAGUUCCGUGUCAUGAGAUGAUCAGACCUUAUCACUUAUCCUCCCUCCCACAAAAACUAAAAUCCCUAGAAAUCAAAUACAUCAAUAUCUUCAAAAGUCUAGAAUUAACUACAGAAGAUACAGGUACUGCCCCUCUUUCCUAACUAGUGAUUAAAUCCUUGGGAAUUGGGUGUUGCACUCAUGAUCUCAAGAUUGUGGUUUCCAGGACUGGGUGAUGUUCAUUUCAUUUCAUUUCAUUUGAGUUUGAGUCCAUGCUCAGGCCAAGUCGAAGACUCCACCCUCAGAGUCUGGUGUGGUUGCCAGGUUGUAUUCUCUGUUUAAUUUUGACAUGUGUAGGAGCGAGUUUGAGUCAGUUUGUGCUCGUUGUGUAUAUCCUGGGAGAUGGGGUUCAUCUCUAAUGGUGCUUAAGUAUCUAUCCAGCUGCAAUUUGAAUGAUUCCACACUGCAUCCUGAUGUGUUGUGUUCUUGAGCCAAACAUUCCUUAACAUUGGUCCAGUAUACUCAGCUGGCAAAAAUGAGCAAUCCUGCAUCCAAAGGUGAAAUAUAUUUCCCACAGAAUCCUGGAAACUGGUCUUAUGAACCUAUGACACAGGAAGGCCCUUUGAUCCUCUUUUUUAAUGUGUACUGAUCCAACCUGACAAGCUGCCUAGUUUAAGAACACCACCUAGUCCCUGAAUGGAUUUAGCUAGCAGAGAUCAUUAACUUGUAAAUUAGUCAUGGGAAACUUGUGGUCCAUGGGACAUUCGGAAUGGCACACCAAACAGAAAAUUACUUUGAACUUUUUAAUAGUGUGACCCAUGUGAUAAUGAGCCAUGUCUCAUGUGGCCCUCUUCACAAAAAAGGGUCCCCUGUUCCUGUUGUAAAUUCAGACAACCUAUCUCUUAAUAUUUUUUUUUAUUUCCUGAGGACACUAAACCUGGUGGGUUUGCAAAGGUCAAUAAAACUGUGCCCUUCACCCCGGAAUAAGGCAGAUAAAAAAGGAACAUAGCAAGGGAUCAAACAUAGAAGGGGACAUGGGGAUUUCUUUGAAUUUGUUAACUGGACAGGAGAGUAUAUAAUAGCAAAGUGAAUAACAUCAACCAGUCAACAAGGUUUUAAGUGAAAUCUUAAAAACUCCAGGUUCAAAUCUGAGACACUACUGGUCAAAAACUCUCAAAGGACAAAUAAAUAGGACUUUGACUAUCCUGCUAGCGUGUGUGUUAUUCUACAACAAUAUACACGUGCAUGUGUAUAUAUGUAUAUAUACACAUACACGUAUAUAUAUUAUAUAUUUACAACACAAACUGACCCCUGAAGUCCCUUUAGCAUUAUUUAAACAAUAUAGAAUUUUUUUAUUUCCUUACAAUUUUUAGAACUAUCAUUACCAUUUUGUAACUAUAUAUAUAUAUAUAUAUAUAUAUAUAUAUAUAUAAAAUAAGCAAAAGAGAUUAAUAAAUCCAGGUGGAUAUCUAGAAAGCUCCCAGCAGUGGUGGCUCAGAGAUAAAAUUAGUGGGGGUGCUGCUCUUCAGAAAAUUUGUAGCCGUUGUUUUAAUAUUGUGUAAAAGGAAACAAACGUAUAAAAAGGAAAUUUAUACAUAAACUUGAUCAGUUUGCAUUUUAGCCACUGUCAGAUAGUGUGUUUAAUUUGUUCACUAAAUUCCCUCCUUGUUCUUUUAAAAAAUCCGCCCCCUAAAUCACAAAAUAAGGUGGGAGAAUCUGCCUUAUUUUUCAAAUUCUGGCAGCGACACUGAAGCUGGAAGCAGGAUAAUAAUCUAAUUCUAUACUUUAUCACAUUCAAGAAUAUAAACACAUUUUUAAGCACAACACACGCAGAGUCAAAACGAAACACUACCUUUCACCAGCACUGCAUGAACCAUGACGCUCUCUCUCCCUAGCGUGAAGCUUCCUAUCUCGGACAUGUAAGCAUGCACAUAACAGCCAAACACCACGUCACUGGAACUGUGAAGUGCACAGUUUCAUACAAGGACUUUGGGAUUCUUUUCAUAAACUAAGGGAUGGCUACUGACAUUGAGCUUAAGGAUUAUAUAAUGUACGAGAAUAAAGAAAGAAUUAAAGAUAAAAGGACUCAUUAUAUUGAAUGUUAUCUAUAAUAUCGCGUAGAAAUAAAGGGGUGUUGCAGUUCCACAUUCCCUAUACACGAGCCACCACUGGCUCUCAGUGUUAACCAAAUUUGGUAAACUAUAUUAAACAAUCAGAUACCAAUAAAUUCAAGUAGAAUUAACAUAUAUUUUUGGAUAUAUUAAUCUGACUGGCAUUUUAUACCUUCUGUUCUGUAUUUAAAUCUGUUGGCACAAGAGAAACAAUCAUAGGUAAGUAUGGUGCAACCGUUAAUUAAAGAUGUGAUUGCUUGCAUUCUUGUUAUUCAUUCAUUCAUUUAGUCAUACAUACAUACAUACAUACAUAUAUAUAUACAUACAGUAACUAAGAGCACCUGUGUUUGAAAAGGUUAAUCGAAAGUACUCACACAAUAGGAAAAUAAUCUUCUUCCAAAACAGGUUAGUAACAUCCUGAUAAAAGACUUCAUAACUUAAUAAAAAAAUCCCCUUUAUACUUAAAAACUAUAUAUCUUUAUAUAUAAAAGUCAAGUUGUGUGUCUGUCUCCUACGAUUUAGAUUCCUAACUACUCCCACAUUUUGCAGUGCAGUUUAACCAAAACCGGGUAUUUUAUAGUCGUGAUUCAUAUCGAGCCCUUCUGGGUAUUAGUGCGCAUCUACAAUGAGUCUACGAUUUAAAAAAAAAUUUAUCAUCAUUUUUCCCCAUUUUUAAUGCAUUUUUUACUAUUUUUUGGCUAUAACUCUCUAAAAAUGCUUUAUAGUUAUUUCCCUUACAAACCCGAGCAACACCAGGCGAUACUGCUAGUAUAAAUAUAUAUGGUGAACGAAGGCUUUGUAAAGGGGUGGGUGGGAUAAAGAAAGGGAGAAAGAAGGCAUUAACCCUUUAGCAUUUAAACAGACCACAUCUGGAUAAAAUAUUCUACCUGUUUUAUGUUCAAACUGGCCAGAUCUAGCCUCUCACACUUACCAUGAAAUGUCAUUCUAAAAAUAUGCAAUCACAUGAUCUGAAUCCCAAAGCUAUGAGAUAAAUACAUGGUUAAUUCAAAACAAUCAAUAAAUAAGCAUUACAUUUGACAGGAUAAUGUGAAUACUAAAAGGUUAAAGCAGCUGAACUGAUUAUGGUCAUUAACCAUCUUACAUUAGUACUACAAGCAGACUUGAACCAUCUGCAUGUGUGUGUCCAAAACAUAUAUUCAGUUAAACUUCCCUGAAAUCACACACUACCAUUAAAAUAGACGUCCCACCUAAAAAAAAAUCCAUGACAAGUUAAAUAAUGUAAUUCUAAUAAUACUAUUUGAACAAAAAAAAAAAAGACAUAGUAAUGAUAGAUGUAAUAGCUUUGAUCAUUGGUCUGUUAAAUGAGGACCAAGUAGGUUCUAUAUGACGACAUCUGUCCUUGAGCAAUUAAAUCUGUCCCCGUCCAAAACGUCGAAAAUUUAGCUCCCUUUAUGAUACACAUUGGUCUAACUGAUUGAUGCCCUACACUCUACAGGUUUGGCUGAAGCAAGGCUUGACUAUUAGCAACACCAACAACUAGCCUUGUUUCUAAAUAAAAGACAACAACAACAACAAAAACUGACUUCAUUUUUACAUUAGAAACACACACACACACACAUGUAUGUGCGCAUACAUAUAUAUGUAUAUAUGUGUAUAUAUAUAUAUAUAUAUAUAUAUAUGUAUAUGGCUUUAUGUAAAGUAGCAAUAGUAAAGCAUUGUUAUUUGUAGGUGUUGAACACAUCAAGUGUCAUGAUUUGAUGUUUGUAUGUUUAUAGGUUUGUUUUUGUUUUGAUAAUUUCAAAAGGAAUUGAUUGGUCUUUAGUCUUUGGUAUGGAGUUCUUCUCAACCAGCACUUACAAAAAUUCCAAAGAUAUAUAUACAUACAUACACAUACAUACGUAUAUAUAUAUGUAUAUAUAUACAUAUGUACACACACAUGUAUGUAUAUAUAUAUACACACUCACA
rnacentral:lncRNA from 1 species